UAAUAGGCUCUUGAUGCAUGCAGGGGAGCACAAACUUGUGCCUUUUUCUCGUUGAACGAGAAUACUCUCCCAGCAAUCCAACUGAUCCCAAAUAAACCGAUGCUUGUUCAGACAUAAAAGAAGCUUCACCUUCUAGGCCCUCCACUUUGUCAGAUUGCAGCAAUACAGAGGCUGCUACAUUGAUUAAACAAGUCAAAGAUCAGAUAUUGCUGAUUCUUCAUGUAAGAUGAAAUUACAAGAAACUAACUGAAUUAAAAAUUACACCAUCAUCGCGGAAAGGGGAUUAGAGUAUCACACAGUAUCAAUUCAUGGGUCAGUUGCUGGCAGAAUUGUAGAAAGGAGACUACUAAAUCUCUUAAUGAUAAAAUCAGGAGCCCCAUAUAAACAGUCUAAACAGCACAUGUGUGACCAACAUCAACAAAGUCAGGUUGUCCUAAGAGGCUAAGAUAUUUGUAUCAACUGGCAUAGCUCCAUGCAAAUUACAGAAUUAGUACAUCAAAAACAAAAAUAACCAGCAUGUUGCCAACAGUCUAGACAGCACAGCAUGACCAACACCAACAAAGUCAAGUUGUCCAAAGAGGGUAAGAUAUUUGAAUGUUCAAUGCAAAUUACACAAAAACAACCAGCAAGUUCACAAGGGAUGGUGAAGAUGAGUAGACUAAACUUUUGGGGCAACUCCUGUUCAGGUGUCCAAACGACAGCAGAGGUCUACUCUAGUUUUAGGGCACACAGCCAUUUACUCUUGAUCACGUGCUAUGUCAAGGCAUAAUGACAAACUCAUAUUUGAUUAUUACAAGUACUGACACUGAAUAUCAUAUCUCAAGGAGAUGGAUCAGAAAUAUUGUGCAUGCAACAUUAGUAUACAAAGCUGAUAGGGAAACUUAUAAUGAAGAUAGCAGUCUAGAACAGAGAAACAAAGAUCACAAUAUCUACACCUUUUAAGUGCCCACCAACAAUAUAAGUAACUGGUGUACACAGCUGAAGUACAAACUGACUAGGGACAAUCUCUACUAUUGCAUGCAGACACAGCUGAAGUACAAACUGACAACAAAAUAAACAGAGCAAUCGCACACGUUACAUUCAUCUAACCUUGCCUCACGAUAUUACCCAAAACUUGAUGUAUCAGUUGGUGCUCUAGCAACUAAAAAGACGAAAUCAAGAACAGAGAUGCACCUAAAUAUGUAUCUCAUAACUAGCAUAUGAUGAACCCGCAACAGAGAAACUGAUACACAAAGCACAGACUAUUCUGGAACAUCGAAAUAUGGAUACUGAUCCGAUAUGUGAAGUCACAAACCACUAGGCAUAUGCCUCCAUCAAUCAGUGCACACAGAACAGGAUUGUAAAUUUGUGAUGCCCAUCCACCCACAAACAUGGCGUUCGCUAGAGUUUUAUACUUGGAUCCUAUCUAUCUACUUGUGUAUCUGCGUCGCACGCUAGCUUACCAACAAAACAAGAUCGGAGGGGAGGCGGCCGGCGGAUCUGGGAGGCGGCGGGACGAGAUAGGCGGAUCCGGAUGGAACGGACGGAGCGUCGGGCGG
rnacentral:lncRNA from 1 species